GAUCUUUGUCUUCUUGGUGUGCAU
rnacentral:sRNA from 1 species